rnacentral:tRNA from 1 species
GGCCCCUUGGUCAAGCGGUUAAGACACCGCCCUUUCACGGCGGUAACACGGGUUCGAGUACCGUAGGGGUCA